GCAGUCGAGCGAAUCAAGGGAGCUUGCUCCCUGAGAUUAGCGGCGGACGGGUGAGUAACACGUGGGCAACCUGCCUAUAAGACUGGGAUAACUUCGGGAAACCGGAGCUAAUACCGGAUAAUUCAUAUCUACUCAUGUAGGUAUGCUGAAAGACGGUUUACGCUGUCACUUAUAGAUGGGCCCGCGGCGCAUUAGCUAGUUGGUGAGGUAACGGCUCACCAAGGCAACGAUGCGUAGCCGACCUGAGAGGGUGAUCGGCCACACUGGGACUGAGACACGGCCCAGACUCCUACGGGAGGCAGCAGUAGGGAAUCUUCCGCAAUGGACGAAAGUCUGACGGAGCAACGCCGCGUGAGUGAUGAAGGUUUUCGGAUCGUAAAACUCUGUUGUUAGGGAAGAACAAGUACGAGAGUAACUGCUCGUACCUUGACGGUACCUAACCAGAAAGCCACGGCUAACUACGUGCCAGCAGCCGCGGUAAUACGUAGGUGGCAAGCGUUGUCCGGAAUUAUUGGGCGUAAAGCGCGCGCAGGCGGUCCUUUAAGUCUGAUGUGAAAGCCCACGGCUCAACCGUGGAGGGUCAUUGGAAACUGGGGGACUUGAGUACAGAAGAGAAGAGUGGAAUUCCACGUGUAGCGGUGAAAUGCGUAGAGAUGUGGAGGAACACCAGUGGCGAAGGCGACUCUUUGGUCUGUAACUGACGCUG
rnacentral:rRNA from 1 species